rnacentral:snRNA from 2 species
AUCUUUGUGCUUGGGGUAAUGACGCAGCUAGUGAGGUUCUAACCGCGAUGCAUCUAUUGCUAGUUGAAAACUAUUUCCAAACCCCUGAGUUCGACCCUAACCUUUGAGAAAUUUUGGAAAGGCUCCUUUUGGGGUAAAGCC